GAUGAAGAACGCAGCGAAAUGCGAUAAGUAGUGUGAAUUGCAGAAUUCAGUGAAUCAUCGAAUCUUUGAACGCACAUUGCGCCCCUUGGUAUUCCAUGGGGCAUGCCUGUUCGAGCGUCAUUUGUACCUUCAAGCUCUGCUUGGUGUUGGGUGUUUGUCUCGCCUCUGCGUGUAGACUCGCCUCAAAACAAUUGGCAGCCGGCGUAUUGAUUUCGGAGCGCAGUACAUCUCGCGCUUUACACUCAUAACGACGACGUCCAAAAGUACAUUUUUACACUCUUGACCUCGGAUCAGGUAGGGAUACCCGCUGAACUUAAGCAUAUCAAUAAGCGGAGGA
rnacentral:misc_RNA from 1 species